rnacentral:rRNA from 1 species
UACGUAGGGACCAAGCGUUGUUCGGAUUUACUGGGCGUAAAGGGCGCGUAGGCGGACAGUUUAGUCAGAGGUGAAAGCCCAGGGCUCAACCUUGGAACUGCCUUUGAUACUGGCUGUCUUGAGUUCGGGAGAGGUGAGUGGAAUGCCGAGUGUAGAGGUGAAAUUCGUAGAUAUUCGGCGGAACACCAGUGGCGAAGGCGACUCACUGGCCCGAUACUGACGCUGAGGCGCGAAAGCGUGGGGAGCAAACAGG